rnacentral:rRNA from 1 species
CAAAGGAAUUGACGGGGGCCCGCACAAGCGGAGGAACAUGUGGUUUAAUUCGAUGAUACGCGAGGAACUUUACCCGGGCUCAAACGCAUAAUGACGACAGUUGAAAGAUUGUUUCCCUUCGGGGCAUUAUGCGAGGUGCUGCAUGGUUGUCGUCAGCUCGUGCCGUGAGGUGUCGGCUUAAGUGCCAUAACGAGCGCAACCCCUAUCGACAGUUGCUAACGAGUCGAGUCGAGGACUCUGUCGAGACUGCCGGCGCAAGCUGUGAGGAAGGCGGGGAUGACGUCAAAUCAGCACGGCCCUUACGUCCGGGGCGACACACGUGUUACAAUGGCAGGGACAGCGGGAAGCCACCAAGCGAUUGGGCGCGGAACCCGAAACCCUGUCUCAGUUCGGAUUGGAGUCUGCAACUCGACUCCAUGAAGCUGGAUUCGCUAGUAAUCGCGCAUCAGCCAUGGCGCGGUGAAUACGUUCCCGGGCCUUGUACACACCGCCCGUCAAGCCAUGGGAGUCGGGAGUGCCUGAAGUUCGUGACCGUUUAGGAGCGACCUAGGGCAAGACUGAUGACUGGGGCUAAGUCGUAACAAGGUA